CAGGCGGUCUGUCAAGUCGGAUGUGAAAUCCCCGGGCUCAACCUGGGAACUGCAUUCGAAACUGGCAGGCUUGAGUCUUGUAGAGGGGGGUAGAAUUCCAGGUGUAGCGGUGAAAUGCGUAGAGAUCUGGAGGAAUACCGGUGGCGAAGGCGGCCCCCUGGACAAAGACUGACGCUCAGGUGCGAAAGCGUGGGGAGCAAACAGGAUUAGAUACCCUGGUAGUCCACGCCGUAAACGAUGUCUACUUGGAGGUUGUGCCCUUGAGGCGUGGCUUCCGGAGCUAACGCGUUAAGUAGACCGCCUG
rnacentral:rRNA from 2 species